UGGUGCCAUAUUGGUUGGUCUGGACAGAUAAUGAAAUAUGUCAUGCCAAAGACAAACGUAUUUUCUCAUUCAAAACCUUUCAGACGUGUUAUCAUUACAGGCUGGGAAGCAUUAGCCAGGACAAGCUCAAUGUCAAUGAUGGCAAGGAGCCGCAGCAGAGUAAUAGCUCUGAGAAACCAGCCCAUCUAAAUGCAUCCAGGGCUCUUAUGGACUUCUCUGAUGAUAUAUGUGCUGUAAUGUGUGAAAAAUGACAGCUACUAUUGCAGAUGUGGCAAGGACGCGGUAUGUAUCUUGAAUAAAAAUAUGCAUGCUUUAACCUUUGAUUGAAUGUUCUUAUUAUUGCACAGUUCAUGUGCAUGUGACCAACCCAUAAGGUCGAUGACUCAUCGUGCAGAUGAACUACCUGAAACGUCAGUGUCGCUGGACUCCAUCUGCACUACUUGACUGCUGGGGUUCUGUUAGGCAUGCAGAGAGGGGAAUCCCGCCUAAGACGGAGUGUGCAUGAGCGUUUCUGCGGCUGCGCGGAUGUUCCCGAACAGCCGAACACUGAUGAGGAUGACUCAUCCCUAGAAACCCCACUGGAUGGGUGCGGAGGUUGCACUUUGCAGUCCAAACCUUCUGCAAGUUCUGCUUAGUAAGACUUCACUGGCCUUCUUCUAAUGAGCUGCACUGGAACCAGCCCCAGCAAACCCAACGGUCCACACUAUCAGGAAGUAAUCACCACUCUAAUCAGCCAUAAAGAUGAUGUCUCAGCAUAGACAACAGGUGCAAUGUAGCUGAUCGGUAUUCCGGUGGGACGAGACUUCCUUCCCAGAGAGAAUGCAUGAUCACAGUAUGCUGUGGAUUUCCGAGGGACACACCCCAUAGAAAGCUACUAUUUCAUUAUGAUCUCAGCGUGGUCAGACUGGUAUAGACUAAACUACUACAUCAUACUUGGAUGUUGUCUUCAUGUUUUACAACUUAGGAGUUCAACAAAAUAAUGGAAACCAUCCCAAUUCAAGAAAAUGUAAGGGUUAUUUUCAACUUAAUGGCUAUAUGCAACAUGUGUGGCCUGCUGUCAGUUACCGCAGACAAAUGCAGGCAUUUUUAUGUCCC